GCCGGGCCCGCCUCCCCCCCGGCGCCGAGGGGCGAAGGGGGCCCCGCGGCUGGGCUGAGGUUCAUCGGUUGAGCGGAAAACAUGUUGCGUGCCCCAGUGACUUCCUAGUUCUCACAUAGACUGAGAAAGAAGAGGCUGAUGAAGAAGGUCGAUGAAGGAGGAGGAUGGCCCAUGGGACCUAGGUCCCAACCAACCGUUUCGUGGAAUAAAACCUUGGGCUUUGUUCUGAAGAAAUACGAGCUGCUGAGUGAAGAUGAUAGUUGGACUGACUUCUCCACUGAGAUUUAUAAACCUCUCUUAUGAAGCAUUUAUAUGAAACACUUCAUAAUCCACCAAUCCUGCCAUUCACUAGAAUUGGAGAGAGGGAUUUUUCUUCUAGGUGAAGGCAGCCAAAGACAUUCCACACAUCUGCCAUCAACACGUGUGUAUGUGCAAUCUCCACAGUGGAGAUAAUGAGUAAUUUUUUGUGCAGUUCUUAAUAACCUGUAGUCAUUCUUCAUUACUUGAGGGUCUUAAGUAUUUUACCUAAACUGGUAUGAAACUCAUGUUUCACAAUGGCCUCUGCUAGCAUUCUUCUUCUGGUUAAAACCUGAUAAAUACAGUACAUUCCUCUCCUAGCUUUCUUCUGGCAUUUGGAUUUAAACAAAGCAAAACUCAAUAAACCUUACACAUUUCCACUUGGUUUCACAUAACAACAUUAGUUUCAUAUGUUUCGAUAUAUCAUAAAG